AAUGAACGCUGGCGGCAGGCCUAACACAUGCAAGUCGAACGAGUGGCGGGCGGGGGAGUAAUGUCUGGGAACAAGCCUGAUGUUGGGGGAUAACAGCUGGAAACGGUAGCGAAUACCGCAUACCCUCGGAUGUGCCCAGAUGGGAUUAGCUAGUAGGUGGGGUAAGGGCUCACCUAGGCGACGAUCCCUAGCUGGUCUGAGAGGAUGAAAAGCCACACUGGAUUGGAGACACGGCCCAGACCCAUACGGUAGGCAGCAGUGGUGAAUAUUGGACAAUGGGCGCAAGCCUGAUGCAGCCAUGCCGCGUGUAUGGAGAAGUGCUUCGUCUUGGAAUGGACUUUUAGCGGUGAGGCUUUAUUCGCUGAAGAAGCACCGGCUAACUCCGUGCCAGCAGCCGCGGUAAUAC
rnacentral:rRNA from 1 species